GACGAACCGUGCGAACGUUAUUCGGAAUCACUGGGCUUAAAGCGCGUGUAGGCGGCUGGCCAAGCGUGGUGUGAAAUCUCCGGGCUCAACCCGGAAACUGCACUGCGAACUGGCCUGGCUGGAGUGCAGGAGAGGGAUGCGGAAUUCACGGUGUAGCGGUGAAAUGCGUAGAUAUCGUGAGGAACACCAGUGGCGAAGGCGGCAUCCUGGCCUGUAACUGACGCUGAGACGCGAAAGCGUGGGGAGCGAACCGG
rnacentral:rRNA from 1 species